GUGAAGGGCAGAGAUAGGUUAUUUUCUCUCUUAGGCAACGCGUUCUGUGGAAAGAGCCAGAGCUUCAGAUUCGGGCGGGCUUGCAUCCAAACCGAGAUAGUGAGUGUUCUCAAAAUGGAAAAGGCAAUGCCCUCAUGGAACUAAGACCCGUGCUAGCAGAUUUCAGACAUGAAGCCCCUACUGAGAAAGAGCUGUGGGAGUAACAGAGGGCUGCCCAUAAAUCUGCAGGUGUCACCUCUUUGUUCAUCUGGGAAACGGCCCUGUAAUGCCUCCUGUAUCUUCCAGGCAAAGACCACAGGAGAUCCUACCAUGAAUGCAGUCUGUAGCACAAAUUGCAUUUCAAAUGUACCAGUCCUUCUAGAUUACUCCGAAACCCCUUCACACCUUUCUAUCCUCUAUGACCUACCCCCAUCUUCUGACUAAGAGUUGGAAUACUGGGACAACCCCAAAAGGAAAUGACCAUGAGACUCUUCCUGAAAUGCCAUGUUCUGGGAGAUCACUCCUUUCUCCUACAAACAAGACUUUUCAUCACUGAGCUGAAUAAAUUCUUCUUAAUUUAUGUAUCUCACUUCUGUUACAUUUCUUUGCCUGUAUCAGAAACAGCUCCUCUGUUUCUCUUCUUUCAAACAAAUCCCUGCCAAAUAGAAUACCAUAACCAAGGGCAUAGUUAGCCAUGAAAUCACCAUACUUCUGCCCCAACCACAUUCUGAUGGCACUGGGGCAGGAGGAGAUAUAAUGCUCCUCCCCAACUCUGUGUCCUCCCUCUGGGGUACUGCCAGCUUCCUUUACUAAUUCACUGUUGAAGGAACUGACUUACAGGGAAUUCACCAUCCUUAGGAAGAUGGAUCGGGAGUAGAAAAUUUGGAUGUUCGUUAGGUUCUCCUUUGAUUAUAUAGAAGAACACAAAGCAAAGAAUGUUGGGAAGAGUGACACAAUGCAUUACUCAAGCAUGUCAAUCUGGGCAAGGCCUGUAAGGGGCUGCAUUGUUUACCUAAACUGCUAGGGCCCCCUCCUAGUUAUUAUAGGGAAUGCUGUUUAUAUCAAUAUUUAAAUAUGCUAUUUCCCCCAAAUGAACCACAACAGCUUCAUUUAAAGUUAUUUUAUUAUGCUGAACAGAUAUUUGGACAAUUUAAAAUUCCACUUGCUAUACAAACAACUCCAAUAAUGCCUCAGUUUAGCAUGUAAAUACAUAUUUAAACAAUUUAAAAACACAUUGACUGCAUAAUUUGUAUUUGUUACUGCUCAAAAGAAAGGACUUUUUAUUUAGUGUGCCAAAUAAUGUGAAUUUGGAUGCCUUCUGAAAGGAUGCAUUAUUCAUGUGCAAGAGAAACAAAAUCAAUAAAUGAAAAUUCGAAUAAAAAGAAAACCCAUUAUGAUACUGCACUCAGACAAUGAUCAUCUUGUGCAUUAUUUGCUCAAGGAAAAGACACAGGAAAAUGGCCCUUUUGGAACCAAGUUAUGGACUGAAUCAUAAACUCCUGCUUAGGCUGUUUGAAAAUAAACAGAAUUAUACGUCU